rnacentral:rRNA from 1 species
UACGGGGGGGGCAAGCGUUGUUCGGAAUUACUGGGCGUAAAGGGCCAGUAGGCGGCCAACUAAGUCGGAUGUGAAAUCCCCAGGCUUAACCUGGGAACUGCAUCCGAUACUGGAUGGCUUGAAUCCGGGAGAGGGAUGCAGAAUUCCAGGUGUAGCGGUGAAAUGCGUAGAUAUCUGGAGGAAUACCGGUGGCGAAGGCGGCAUCCUGGACCGGCAUUGACGCUGAGGGAGCGAAAGCCAGGGGAGCAAACGGG